UACGUAGGGGGCAAGCGUUGUCCGGAUUUAUUGGGCGUAAAGAGCGUGUGGGCGGCCAGGUAGGUCCGUUGUGAAAACUCGAGGCUCAACCUCGAGACGCCGAUGGAAACCAUCUGGCUAGAGUCCGGAAGAGGAGAGUGGAAUUCCCGGUGUAGCGGUGAAAUGCGCAGAUAUCGGGAAGAACACCCGUGGCUAAGGCGGCUCUCUAGUACGGUACUGACGCUGAGACGCGAAAGCGUGGGGAGCGAAUGGG
rnacentral:rRNA from 1 species